GGUAACGGCUCACCAAGGCUAAGACGGGUAGCUGGUCUGAGAGGACGACCAGCCACACUGGAACUGAGACACGGUCCAGACACCUACGGGUGGCAGCAGUCGAGAAUUUUUCACAAUGGGCGAAAGCCUGAUGGAGCGACGCCGCGUGGGGGAUGAAGGGCUUCGGUCCGUAAACCCCUGUCAUUUGCGAACAAACCUUUCCACCUAACACGUGGAGAGCUGAUUGUAGCGAAAGAGGAAGGGACGGCUAACUCUGUGCCAGCAGCCGCGGUAAUACAGAGGUCCCAAGCGUUGUUCGGAUUUACUGGGCGUAAAGGGUGCGUAGGUGGCGAGGUAAGUUUGAUGUGAAAUCUCCGAGCUCAACUCGGAAAUGGCAUUGAAUACUAUCCCGCUUGAGGGUCGGAGGGGAGACUGGAAUUCUCGGUGUAGCAGUGAAAUGCGUAGAUAUCGAGAGGAACACCAGUGGCGAAGGCGAGUCUCUGGACGACUCCUGACACUGAGGCACGAAAGCUGGGGGAGCAAACAGGAUUAGAUACCCUGGUAGUCCUAGCUGUAAACGGUGCACGUUUGCUGUAAGAGGAAUCGACCCCUUUUGUGGCGAAGCUAACGCGUUAAACGUGCCGCCCUGGGGAGUACGGUCGCAAGAUUAAA
rnacentral:rRNA from 1 species